CACGUAGGGGGCGAGCGUUGUCCGGAUUUAUUGGGCGUAAAGCGCGUGUAGGCGGCUUAGCAAGUCGGGCGUGAAAGCCCUCGGCUCAACCGAGGAAGUGCACCCGAAACUGCUGAGCUUGAGUGCCGGAGAGGAUGGCGGAAUUCCCCAAGUAGAGGUGAAAUUCGUAGAUAUGGGGAGGAACACCGGUGGCGAAGGCGGCCAUCUGGACGGUAACUGACGCUGAGACGCGAAAGCGUGGGGAGCAAACAGG
rnacentral:rRNA from 1 species